CGGCAUGUGGGUCGGUAGCUCAGGUGGUUAGAGCGCACGCCUGAUAAGCGUGAGGUCGGAGGUUCAAGUCCUCCUCGACCCACCA
rnacentral:tRNA from 1 species